UCGAGUGGCGAACGGGUGAGUAACACGUGGGUGAUCUGCCCUGCACUUCGGGAUAAGCUUGGGAAACUGGGUCUAAUACCGGAUAGGACCGCACUUUAGUGUGUGUGGUGGAAAGUUUUUUCGGUGUAGGAUGAGCUCGCGGCCUAUCAGCUUGUUGGUGGGGUAAUGGCCUACCAAGGCGGCGACGGGUAGCCGGCCUGAGAGGGUGUACGGCCACAUUGGGACUGAGAUACGGCCCAGACUCCUACGGGAGGCAGCAGUGGGGAAUAUUGCACAAUGGGCGCAAGCCUGAUGCAGCGACGCUGCGUGGGGGAUGAAGGCCUUCGGGUUGUAAACUCCUUUCGCUAGGGACGAAGCUUUUUGUGACGGUACCUAGAUAAGAAGCACCGGCUAACUACGUGCCAGCAGCCGCGGUAAUACGUAGGGUGCGAGCGUUGUCCGGAAUUACUGGGCGUAAAGGGCUCGUAGGUGGUUUGUCGCGUCGUCUGUGAAAUUCUGGGGCUUAACUCCGGGCGUGCAGGCGAUACGGGCAUAACUUGAGUGCUGUAGGGGUAACUGGAAUUCCUGGUGUAGCGGUGAAAUGCGCAGAUAUCAGGAGGAACACCGAUGGCGAAGGCAGGUUACUGGGCAGUUACUGACGCUGAGGAGCGAAAGCAUGGGUAGCGAACAGGAUU
rnacentral:rRNA from 1 species